ACACGUCUACAUUACGUACCCGGUAGCCCAGCCGUAAACUAUGCGCGUUAGGUGUAUCGGUGACCACGAGUCACCGAGGUGCCGAAGGGAAACCGUGAAACGUGCCGCCUGGGAAGUACGGUCGCAAGGCUGAAACUUAAAGGAAUUGGCGGGGAGCACCACAACGGGUGGAGCCUGCGGUUUAAUUGGACUCAACGCCGGGAAGCUCACCGGAUAAGACAGCGGAAUGAUUGCCGGGCUGAAGACUCUGCAUGACUAGCUG
rnacentral:rRNA from 1 species